rnacentral:misc_RNA from 1 species
UCAGUCUCCAGCAUUGUUCUUCUACUCUCCUUAAUCCUGUCACCAGACUGGUUUAAUCUCUCUACUGACAUAGACAAUCUUUCUCUCUCAUCUGCAGAAACCGCGUGAACAUCCGCCAUUCCAGCCUCCAAUAACUCUUCACGGGAAGCCUGAUCAGCAUUACCAGACGUUAUUCUCUUAAAUUCCCUCUUCAACUUAUUCAAAUCAGACUUAUAUUCCCUUAAUUUAGCACGAAGCAUAGCCUUCACACUCGGCUGCAGGCUCCUCGCCUCAAGGUCCAUUUUCCGAAUCAGAACAUCACAAUCAUCCAACCCAGAUUUUAUCAGAGAGAUCUUCUCCUUCUUCUCCUCUCCAUCGGGAAGAAUAAACGUGGAGUUGCAUUUACGUGAGAGAUUUGCAGAGAGCUCGCAGUACUGGCGCUCGUAUCCUUCAAAGACAUCACUCAUGAUUGCUGAGCAAGAAGAGAAGAGAAGAGAAGAUGGGUCGAUUACAGAAGAGAAGGAAAGUGAGUAGGGAGAGAUAUGAACCGAUGUAAAAUGGCAACCGACGGAGCCGUAAAUUCUUGGAAAUAGGUGACUUCGGACAGCUGCA